rnacentral:lncRNA from 1 species
GAAUGAAGAGUAGCACCUAGGCUACUUAUAGCAGUUCAGGUGUUCUAGAUAAUUUGUUAGCAAAAAAUAACAAACAAGUUACAGCUGUACCAGAAAUAACAGACUUAAAUCAUAAGCCAGUAUCAAGCAUUUAACAGAAAUACUAAACCAGCACAAGCACCUUGCGAGAAAGCUAUAUUGUGCUUAUCUCAAACAUAUUAUCGAACACCUGCAUAUCAUUCUUACUGCCUGAUAUUCCCCCUGUUUUCUCCUCUUCCGAGAAAACAAAAGUCGUGGAUACUGAGCAGAGUUGACAUAAUCCAAGCUUUGAUCGCAGCGCAACAAAUUGAGAUUCACUUAAAGGUUUAGUGAAUAGAUCCGCAACUUGAUUGUGUGCAGCAAUAUGAUUGAUUUGAAGAUCACCCUUUACUACUUUUUCCCGGACAAAAUGAAGAUCAAGUUCAGCAUGUUUCAUCUUGGAAUGAAGAAUAGGAUUUGCUGAUAUCUGGACAGCACCAGAAUUAUCGCACCAUAUAGUUGGAAUUCCACAACACUUCUCUCCAAGAUCAGUCAGAAGAUGGAUGAACCAAGCGAUGUCAGCCGCAGUAUUGGCGACACUUCGAAAUUCUGCCUCAGAUGUGGAGCGUGCCACUACAUGUUGCUUCUUGGAUGACCAACCAAUGAGGUUGCCACCUAUGUAGAUACAGAAACCAGAAGUAGACCUCCUAUCUUCAAGAGAGCUGCCCCAAUCCGAAUCUGAAAAAGCUGUAAUAUCAACCUGAUCCGCUGGAGUGUAAUAAAGGCCAAACUCGAUAGUUCCUUGAAGAUAUCGUCGUACUCGUUUGACUGCCACCCAGUGCUUGUCAGUUGGAGAAUGCAUGAACUGACUGAGUUUGUUUACAGCAAAAGCUAUAUCGGGACGGGUAAGACAUGCAUAUUGAAGUCCACCCACAAUGCUUCUAUAUAAAACAGCCUUGGACGUAGGUAACAAUUGACCAUCAGUUGAAGUGAGAGUAGGAGACACGACCAUUGGAGUGGGUACUGAGCCAGCAGAAGUCAUCUCAGCACGAUUGAUUAACUCACGAAUAUACUUUUUCUGCGAUAGAUGUAGAGUUCCAUUACGUCUAUGCACUUCUACUCCAAGAAAAUAAUGCAAAGGUCCCAAAUCCUUAAGAGAAAACGCUUUGUUUAACUGAUGAAUAACAUCACUUAGGUCCUUUGAAUUGCUACCAGUGAGAAUAAUGUCAUCAACAUAUACCAGACACCAUACCCUAGUUCCUUCAUUUUGACGUGUGAAUAAAGAAGGGUCAGCACAUGAAGCUUGAAAAUUCAGAUUGGAACACAAAAAAUCUUUGAGCUUUUGAAACCAAGCUCUCGGCUCUUGUUUGAGACCAUAAAGGGCCUUUCGUAGUUUGCAAACAAGAGGUUGACCUUCGAUAUUUCGCUGCUCAAAACCGGGGGGUUGUUUCAUAUACACUUCCUCAACAAGAUCUCCAUUGAGGAAGGCAUUGUUGACAUCUACUUGCCUCAAUUCCCAACCAUGAGUAACUGCCAAGGAAAGGAGAGUGCGAACAGUAUUUGCUUUUGCGACUGGACUGAACGUGUCAUGGAAGUCGAAGCCUAUUUUCUAAGCAUAACCCUUGGCAACCAGCCGAGCUUUGAAGUGAUCCACAGUACCAUCAGCUCGUUUCUUUACCUUGAACAACCACUUGCAUCCCACAGCAUGUCGAUUUGAUGGUAAGGGAACUAAGUCCCAAGUUUGAUUUCUCACCAAAGCAUCAAGUUCAUCAUGAACGGCUUGUUGCCAUUGAGGAAACUGCAUAGCUUCAUGAAUAUCUGCAGGAGAAAAAGGUAUAUUAGUAACUUGAUAAGUGAUAAUUUUCGAUUUUACAAUACCUGACUUGCCCCUUGUGAUCAUGGGGUGACUAUUAAGUUGAGACGGGUUUGGUAUAUCUUGAGACUGCACUUCAAACGCAGGUGCAGAUGCAGAAUUUGGCAAACUUUGAGAUUGGUGCCCAUCGUGUGAAAAAUUAGGUGAGUGAUCCUGAGACGAGGAAGUGCAAUUUAUGUUAGAAUUAUUAUUUUGAGAGUUGAACAGAGUAAAACCAGAAUUUGGAGAAUGAGAUGGAGGAGGAGUAGAUAUUAGUGAUGGCGAUUUAGACUGCUGCAAUGAAGAGCAAAAAUUAGUAUUAGUAGUUGGAUCAGGUGGCGAAACAAUAGGUAAAUGAACUGUAGUAAAUGGAGUGUGUGAAGAAGGUGAAGAAAUGUGCAUGUCAUCCUUUAGUGAAAAAGGAAAAAUAUAUUCCUGAAACUUAACAUGUCGAGAUAUAUACACUCGACCAUUAGGUGCAAGACACUUAUAACCCUUAUGGUUAGCAACCGUGCCCAAAAAAAUGCAAGAUAUAGACCGAAACUGCAGUUUAUUGUGAUUAUAAGGUGUCAACAAGGGAAAACAACGACAUCCAAACACUCGAAUAAGAGAGUAAUCAGGCUUAACUUGAUACAAUUUUUCAAAAGGAGUUUUAUUAUUUAUAGCCUUGGAAGGUAAGAUGUUUAUUAUAUUAAUAGCGUAAGUAAAAGCAUCAGACCAGUAUUUUAAAGGCAUGGAACUUUGUGCAAGUAAAGUAAGACCUAUUUCUACAAUUUGUCUAUGUCUUCGUUCAAUUAAACCAUUCUGUUCAGAAGUAUGAGGACAGGUUAAUCUAUGUUGUAUGCCAAAUGAUUGCAAGUACUGUACAAAUGAUCUAAACUCUCCACCACUAUUAGUUUGCAACGCCUUAAUCUUUUUAUCAAACAUUGUUUCAACUUGCUUUUUGAACACAAGAAAUGCAGACAGAGCCUCAGACUUCUGUUUCAAAAGAAAAAUCCAAACAUGUCUUGAAUAUGCAUCGAUGAAUGAAAUAUAGUAUUUAUACCCAGAAGACACACAUGGAGCUGGUCCCCAAACAUCACAGUGAAUAAGUUGUAAAGGAGAAGUAUACUCAGUGGUUGAUGAUGUAAAUGGUGUUGACACAAUUUUUUUGGAUGAAAAACGGAGUCGACUUGGGUUUUGAAAAACGAAUAUGGGAGUCGCCACCAAUCUUUUUUUUGUGAGGUGUGAUCGGGCCACCUCGUAAAAGGGGUUGUUUUUAAUAAACAAUUUAAUUUUAUUAAAACAACGGUUUUGGUCUACGAAAUUCAGAAAAAUGGGUUCGGGAGUCGGUUACGUACGAGGAAGGAUUAGCACCCUCGUAACACCCAAAAUUGGUACCUAGUUGAUUACUUAAUGUCUUGAAGUCGAAAAUUGAAAACUUUAAAGAGAUUUAAAAAUACAAUACUUUAUUGAAAUGUUAAAUUUUUUUGGGAAAAUAGGCAUAUUUUACGUUAAUCGAGAAAAAGAAUCAUAUCCAGUAAGUUAGGACACAAUGUCUCGAAUUCUCGAUACGAGAAUAAAUGCCGAAAAUUUAUUAGAAAAAUCUUCAUCUUGAGAAAACGACGUGUCAUAUCCAAUGCGUUAGGACACAACGUAUCGAAUUCCCGAUACGAGAAUAAAUGCAGAAGAUUUACUUAUUUAAAAAGAUAUUUAAUUAUCUCGGGUUUAGAAAAGGGAUCAUGCCCAGUAAGUUAGGACACGAUCUUUUUUAAUGCCGGAGAUCAUCUAGAACUUGAGUUUGAAAAGAUUCGUGUAUUUAGAUUUAUUGUGAAAAUCGAGACCCAGUAAGUUAGGGUACGAUAUUCUCAAAUCCAAACACAAGAUUUUGCUUAUUCAAAAAUUGUAGUUUAUGCAUUGAAAUAAAUUAAUCUAAUAAAACACGAUGUUAAUACUCGUAACAAGGCGAUAUUGGAUACAAUAGUGCAAAAAUAAUACGAGCAAUUGCAACAAAAAUAAGAUAAAUAAAAAGUACAAAUCAAUAAUGUAUACAAGCAAAUAAAAUUAAAGCAUUCAUUCGAAUCAAUAAUGAAAAUGAAAUAAAUAAAUAGAUGAAUAAGAUUAUAAAAAGGUAAAAAGAUAUAUGCGUAAGCAUAAAAUUAUGAGAGUGUGAAAAAUCUAUGUACGUAAAUAUAUAUGUAAAUAUGUAUGUGUAUACUAAUGUAUAUAUAUAAAGUUAUGAAAUAUAUAAAAUAUAAAGGUAGGUAUAUAUAUAAACUAAAAAACAUAUAUGCGCGCACAUACUAUAAAAAUAUGUAUGUAUACAUGUAUAUAGAUUAACGUAUAUAUAAAAAAUGUAAGUAUAUACAUAUAUGAAAAUUAGAAAUAUGUAAGUAUGUAUAUAAGUAUGUACAUAUAUAUAUGUAUAUAACAAAUCUAAAAACAGUAUAAAUAAGUAAAUGACAAUAAUGAUAAUAAUAAUAAUAAUAAUAACUAAUUAGUUAAAUAAUAAUAAUAAAAAGGGACUAAAUUGAAAACAAAACAAAAUCACAGGGAAAAAUAAAAAAAUGAAAUGAAGUAAAGGAUUAAUCCGUGACGCGCUUGAAAGAAGAGGGACCGAGGUGAAAAAUAUCCCAAUCCACCAAAACGUAGAACUUCGAGGGACUUAAAUGAAAUCAGAACAAGAUUUUAGGGUAAAAUUAAAAAUAAAAUAAACCUAACAUGAAGGGACUAAAUUAUAAAAUGAGAGAAAUAUAGAGGGGCUAAAAGGGUAAAUAUACCCUUAGCCUCAAAAACGCGCGGAUCCUGGUCGGGUCGCCCGCGGGUAGCGCAAAACGGCGUCGUUUUGAGGCCGAAUGAAACAGGCCAAAACGGCGCCAUUUCAUUUGGGUAUUUAAACCAAAUUUCUGUUAAAAAAAUUAAUUAAGCCCCCAUUCCUAAAAAAAAUCAAAACUCUUCCUCUUUUCUCUCAAAAACCUCCCUCCUCCAGUCAUGGCGCCGGUUAUCGGCCACCGACGAAGGCGCCACCGUCCGCGGUGGCCGAAAAAACCAAAACGGCCUUUGUUUGCUCCUCUUUUCGAGUAGAGCUCGAUUUUGAGGCUUUUACACCCCGGAGGCCCGCCGAUGAAGGUAAAAAUCCUUCCUUUUUGUUCUUUUCUUUUUAUUUUUCGUAUUUUUUGAUAAAAAUGAAAAUAAAUGAAAAUAAAUAGAGUGAAAAAAUAUACAAAGAAAUAUUUUAGAUCGAAAUCAGUAAAUACCCUUUUUUAUUUCUUUUUCUCCUGAAUCUCGUAGAAAAAAUACAAAAUAGAGACGCCCAAAAUCUCGUAAAAAAAAACCAAAAAUCCCCCCCUUUUUACAUUUCACCACAUACUUGGCUUUAUAGCCGAAAGAAAAGAUGAAAAAUGCAGGAAAAUUCCCUCUUUUGCUACUGUUUUUCUAGUCUGCUUCCAUUUCUCUCUUUUUGCUACUUGUUUGCAGGUACAUGACAAGGUCAACUUGCCGUUUCGGUGCAAGGUCGGCUGGUGGUGGCAGGCCUCGGGCGUGGUGCGCGCUGAAGGCUCACAUGGGUAGCAGCAGGGGAACGGCGCCAGAAACCCUAGGGUUUCUGGCAUUCUGAAAAUGUCAAAUACUUUGGGCCAUUUGGGCUUUUGAAUUUUGGGUUGUAGGUCUGUUAUUGUAAUUGGGUCAGUAAAUUUUUUGGGUUGGUAGGUUCGGGCUAGGGUUUAUAUGGGCCCGGGCAAAAUAAGGUCUGUACAAAUGGUAGUUUAUGACUUUUUCCAAAUUGACAAGCAACACAUAGAGGAAAAUCCUUGAGAACUUUAACAGGAAUAGCAGAUGUUGAAGCUAGAUGUGCAAGAUUGUGUGUCGAAGUGUGUCCUAACCUACGAUGCCACAACUCAUGAGAAGUUAAACUUUUACAUUUCACACAAUCAUUAUUAUUUGAACUAACACUAGUGGUAAAGCAUGAAAGAUCAGACGAGAGAUACGAAAGAGCACUGAAUUUCUGAUUCACAUCCAAUUUGUAGAGACCAUUAACUUCAACUCCUUGUGCCAGAACAGCCUGCGUAGUGAGAUAUUUAACAACACAAUAUUUGGGAAAAAUUCAAAUGAUACAUUAUUGUCUUUGGUGAAUUGGGAUACUGAAAUUAAAUUUUUGGUAAUAUCAGGAGCAUAAAACAAUUUGUUUAAGUGCAGUUCUUUUUGAUCAGUGGAAAAAGUUGCAAUACCAGUAUUUAUAAUAGGGAUACAAGAACCAUUACCGACUUGAACUAUACCUGUAGCAAGAUUAGAGUGCUGUAAGCAUGUGGAAUCAUGUGUGAGAUGCCCAGUUGCACCAGUAUCUGGGUACCAAGCCGGAUCUACAACCACUGCUGGUGUAGCUUGCAAACACUGAGAGAUUCGAUUACCUUCUGAACUAGCUUGAGUAUAACCUGAACAAAAAGAGCCAGCACCACUAACAAAAGGAUUACCAUUGUUACAGGACAUAACAUAAGGGUUUGCAGGACUGAGAUUGCUGACUAUCAGCAUACUGCAGUUAUAUGCAGCAAAAUGUGAAGUACCAGCAUGAGUAGGAGGCAUUCCAGUAGAAGGUAUAUGUGCAGACACAUUAAGUCCUCCAGAACCAGCAAGAUUACCUUGAGUAUUCAACCCAGUAAAACCAGGAUGUCCAACUUGAGGACUAAACAUAGUAAAACCAGUAGUGGGACCAGGAUAACAAUAAAAACCAUUCACACCUUCAGAAGGCUUAACAUAGUUUGAUGACUGAGAAUUAGUAGCAGUAGAGUCAGAAAUACCAGUGAAUGAAGCAUUAAACCGAUGAAAACAUUUAGGGACCAAAUGCCCUAUCUUACCACAUAAUUGACAUUGGGGUCUUGAAUUAUUUGAGUACAUUUCUCCUCUACCACGUGGUCUAAACCCGCCAUUACCCUGAUAAUAUGGUCUGGUCUGAACAUUCAUUCCUUCAGAGCUAGAAUUAAGAGUCUGAUCAUUCGACUUAGUACUAUCACUGCUGUUUGCCGGGAGUUACUGCUGCACAGCUACAUUAGUAGUUAUACUCAUGACAUUUCCCUGAAGUUUUAUCCUCGCCUCUGCAUCCAACAAAGCUGAAACAACUCCUUGAAGAUCAUAAGGAUGCUAACUAGAAGUAAUAAUUGAAACAAUGUUCUCAUAUUCGAUAGGUAAACCGUUAAGAAUAGCAGAUUGUUGUUCCUCCUCAUGAAUAUUUUGACCACAUCCAGACAACACAUCACAGAUAUGCUUAAUUUCUGCUAAAUAUUCUCUCAUUGUCUUAUCUUGCUUCUUAACAUUAUGCAACAUGCAUCUAUACUGCAUUCUCUUAGUUCGUGAGUGAAGAGCAAAUAUCUGAUUCAGCUUAUUCCAUAUUUCAAAAGCAGAGUGCAAGCCAACCAGAUGUGUAUGCAGAGAAGGACUGACUGAGGACAUCAACCAUGACGCAAGAGCAGAAUCUUGUCGCUCAUACGAAACAAAAGCAGGAUUUUCUAUUUGUACUCCCGAAUCAGUGUUAAUCACCCUAGGAGGAAUAGCUAUAGUUCCCUCUACAUAACUUUGUAGCCUAUGUGUUUUCAAAGUUAGGUAAACAUGCUGUUUCCAUGACAGAAAAUUGCUUUCAUCAAUCAACAGAGAUAUUUUAUUGGUCCAAAUGGCAGUAAAUGAUUUACUAACAUCAGAUUUGACCUCAAAAGUAGGAUUCACAGUUUCAUUAUUCAUCGAUUCAUUUUGUUCAGAAUUAUUGACAGACAUCGCAGCCAAAGAUCACUCAAGAACAAAAAUAAUAGCUGAAGAACAAGAGAUUCUGCUUACAGAGACAUUUAAUCAAACACACGGCAGACGCAAAUUACAGCUGAUUAUCAUCAAUUCCAAAGCUCUGAUACCAUGUCGAAAAGCUGCGUACAUUAUAAAAGAAACUAUAACAUUGAUGUAUUCUGAAAGCAAAACAUAAAAGAUGAAGAAAUCAUGAUGUUUAUGAAUUAGAAAGAAAUCACAGAUAACAGAAUAAAAAGAAGUAAAAAGAAGAACAAGUGAGAGAGAUUUUGAGUGUAACACUCUAUUUCUUAUUCAACAUUAUAAGCAUUCAGAAUGAAGAGUAGCACCUAGGCUACUUAUAGCAGUUCAGGUGUUCUAGAUAAUUUGUUAGCAAAAAAUAACAAACAAGUUACAGCUUUACCAGAAAUAACAGACUUAAAUCAUAAGCCAGUAUCAAGCAUUUAACAGAAAUACUAAACCAGCACAAGCACCUUGCGAGAAAGCUAUAUUGUGCUUAUCUCAAACAUAUUAUCGAACACCUGCAUAUCAUUCUUACUGCCUGAUACCCCCCCUCUUUUUGGUGUCUAAGACAAAUUCAUAUCUAAUUGAGUCAAGUCGGAUCCCGAUGAGUAGGAGCACUUAUUUUCUCAGUGUGUCUGCACUCCUAUUUUGACAUAUUCGUCUAUACGAUGACUAUCUUCAGCAGGGAAUGCAUCACCUUCGGUAGCUCCUAAGGCUUUCACCAUUUCCAUCCCCUUAAGUUGGUGGAAAUCUGGAACUCUAUUCUUGAUGCUUCCAACCUUAACAUACUUGGUCUUGGCCUUAUACUCCGCCUCCAAUUGGAAUGGACCAAGGUCUGAGAUGCCACUAUUUUAAUUCUUUUGUUUUCUUCAAAAAAUAUCUUUGCAUGGGCUCUGCUAGCUUCCUUUAGUUUACUCCAAAAAAAAGGCAUAAGGUCCAUAAAACAUACUGCAAAAAAAGAUGAAAUUCAGGUUGACAGCUUAGAACUUUCUGAUUCAUUUAAUGCGUAAUGCUUGCACUUAUAUGAUUGACCAUGCCUCAGGCAAAUCCUACAACCAUUAUAAGUGUUUCAGCUAUAACCAUCACUUAGAAAACUAAACUUCGCCAUUUACUACCCUACAACUAGGACAGUUUAUUAGUUUUGGUUAAAU